rnacentral:lncRNA from 1 species
UCGAUUAAUGUCUUUACAUUAUUUCAUUUAUUUCAUUCCUGGUUAAUUAAUUACCUGAAUGAAACCCUGACCAGCGUCGAGGUACCAGGUCGGGCCAAUUAUUGCUCGGCCUCACCCGUCCCACAUGCACCGUUCGAUAGCGAGCUAUAGCCUAGUUUAUACCGGCAGCUCGAUGAAUCCUCAUCCCGAGCUUCGGGACAUCCGCCUCGACAACCUAAGGUCCGAGUUUGAAGUCCGACUAAAGUUCGAGUUUAGUGACCUUUGGUCCUGGGGCUCGGCCGAAUUCUGAGCUAAGCUCGAAAAGGCUUGCCGAGCCUAAGCGUAUCCUAGACAUAAGCAUCGCGAUAUCACCGGUCGAAGGUCCGAGCAGCGAAAAUUCAUACCUAAGCUCGGACUAGACAAAUGUGCCAAACUUGGACGCAGGUCUAACUACACAACGGACGAAAUUGGGGCCGCAGAGCCCAAGUCCUUGGAGCCUAAAGCGGAUCCAAGUGAAGAAACUUAGGUCUACCGAAAAUCGAAAACACAA